AGUGAGAGAGAGAGAGAGAGAGAAAGGUCUUCCUUUUGCCGUUGGUUCACCCUCCAGUGGCCACCACGGCUGGCGCGCUGUGGCCGGCGCAUCACGCUAAUCCGAAGGCAGGAGCCAGGUGCUUCUCCUGGUCUCCCAUGGGGUGCAGGGCCCAAGCACUUGGGCCAUCCUCCACUGCCUUCCCGGGCCACAGCAGAAAGCUGGCCUGAAAGAGGGGCAACCGGGACAGAAUCUGGCGCCCCGACCGGGACUAGAACCCGGUGUGCCGGCACCGCUAGGUGGAGGAUUAGCCUAUUGAGCCAAGGCGCAGGCUGGGCCAUCUUCUACUGCUUUUCCAGGCUAUAGCAGAGAGCUGGAUUGGGAGUGGAGCAGCCAGGACUCAAACUGGCGCCCACAUGAGAUGCCAGCACUGUAGGUGGCUAGGCCACAGUGCCAGCCCCUCUCUGUAUAUUUAUAUGACUGAUACGUUUGAACUUAGUAUUUGUUCACUUUCAUAUAGGCUCUCUUUUCUUCAGUUUUUAUAUUUAUUUUGGGAAGAUUUAGAGUUGUACUACAAGCUUUUCAUUUAUAACUGUAGAAGUACCUUCACUUUAUAUUUCUUUUGAUAGAAAUACUAAAUUAUUCAAAACCUGGACAGGAGGCACAAUGACUGCAUAUCCUUUGAGUGUCAUUCUGGAGCAGUCUCUAGUAGGCCUACCUAUUACCUUUCUUGAGCAGUUAUUCUCCUGUGUGGUACCUAACAGCAUCAGCGCAAACAUUGCUUAAGAACUGAGAAAUUCAGGUUCUCACAUCCAACUCAGACCAACAGAAACAGCAACUCUGAGGAUGGCCUCACCAAUAUGUUUUUUAACAAACCUCUAGGUAACUCUGCCAGCAUUUUUUGCCGGUUUUAACACCUUGGGAACUCUUGGAAAUGUUUAGACAUUUUUGGUUAUGCCAACUUGAGCAAGGAGAAGUGCUACUGGUAUCUAGUGAGCGGAGAACAAGGAUACUGCACCCUACAAUGCAUAGGAUAGCCUCCCACCCCACCACACACACACACACACACACACACACACUUGCCAACAAAGAGUUAUCUGGCCCCAAAUAUGAAUAGUACAGAGGUUAAGAAACCUUCCUGUAAGGAAUAUUUUAAAUAUUUAUUUAUUUUGUUUAUUUAAAAGGCAGAGAUCUCUCAUCCUCUGGUUCAUUCCUCAAUGCCCACAAAAGCCAGGGCUGGGCCAGGCCAAAGCCAGGAGCCAGGAACUCAAUCUGGGUCCUCCAUGAAGGUUUUAGGGACCCAAGAAGCUGAGCCAUCACUGCUGGCUCCCAGAAUGUGUAUUAACAGGAAGCUAGAAUGGAGAGCGGAGCCAGGAUUUGAACCCAGGCAUUUUGAUAUGGGAUUUAGAUAUCCCAAGUGUAGCAUCUUAACCACUUUGGCAAAUACCCACCUUGCAGGGAAAUAGAAUUUUGAUUUACUGUUUAUUAUGGAUUAGGGCCCACAUGGUAACUUGAAGAAAACUGAUAAGAUACAAAUGAUUUUUAUCUGGUAGAAAUGCAAAAUAUUGCUGUCCAGUAAAAAUGGUGAUCCCAAAGGUUGUGGUUUAAGUAGUGUCGCUCCCCGUCUUCGUGGAGGAACGACACAGGACCCUGCAUUGUUCUUUCGUCUGCUCGGCCCUCCCCGGGUUUGCUGCUGGUUCUUCCCGGGUUGGCUACCGACCCUUCCACCUCCGUGGAAGGGCGGUUCCCCCUGCCACUUUCCCCACUUCCGCGGGGGAGCGGCACACCACCGGCCGGCUCUCUCGGGGGCUGCUCAGGUGUUCCCCUUAGAUGUUCCUGGUGCAUGUUGUCUCUCUCCUCCUUUAUAGUCCUCUUCCACCAAUCCCAACUCUGCUACCCACACGCCGAGUACGCUGCUCUCCUCCAAUCAGGAGCAGCUCCUGCAGCUUGUCAAGUUGGUGAAAGGCAGCUGUGUAGAAGCUGUUUAACUCCUCUCCCAGCGCCAUAUUGUGGGAGAGCAGAUGCAUAGAAUAAGUCUUAAUUCCAGUAACUUAGUCUAGUCUGAGUUGCUCCCCACAAGUAGGCAGUAGGUUUUUUUGUUUUGUUUUGUUUUUUAAGAUUUAUUUAUUUGAAAGGCAAAGUGAAAGAGAGGGAAAGACAGAGAAAUAAAUUUUCCACCCACUAAUUUACCUCCCAAAUGGAACUCAACAGCUGAGACAGGGCCAGGCUGAAACCAGGAGCCAGGUUCUCCACUCUAGUCUCCUCCUACAAGAGUGGCAGGCACCCAAGUCCUUGGACUGUCUGCUGCUGCUUUCCACAGGCGCAUUAGCAGGAAGCUGGAUUGGAAGCAGAGUAGCUGGAACUCAAACAGAAACUGCAGUAUGGGACACUGGCUUAAUCUUCUGUACCACAAUACUGCCCACAUAGGAUAUUGUAUUCAUUGUCCAUUAUGCAGCAAAAUGACCUAAAAUUUAGUAGCUUGAAACAAUUAGCAUUUAUGAUUGUCAUGGUUUCUAUGGAUUAAAAAUUCAUAGAGCUUUAAUUCUUAGAGAAACAAUUUUCAUAUGCUUUGUACAAGUUUUGUUUGUUUUCUUAUGGAAAGUCAUCUGACAUGUACUGUCUUUUUUUUUCUCCCUCUAGUGUGCCCUGCAAUUUUGUUUUGAUUCCUUUUUAAUUCUGAGCUUUUACCCAAAAUUUAUAGCAAGCUUUUACAUGGAAGGAAUGAGGAUUUUUUUCCAGGCCAGGUGAAAUUUUGAGAGUGAUUUCAAGUAGACUUUACAUCUUUUCAGGGACUGGAAAUUGUGAUAUGUGUUCAUUCUGGACCCUAGCAUUCAGCCAUCACAGAGACAGAUUGUUUCUUGCAAAUACAGCUUAUCUGUGUGCCCGACUCUGCUGCUUCUCAGCACCAAACAAGGCCAGGAAGCUCCUGCCACCGGCUGAGUAUUCAGGUCAUUUGCCUUAUGAAAUGCCCCCAUGUGACUCUUCCCUUAUGCUCCUAUGGACAGUGCACAUGCUACUUAAAUUCUCAGAGGAUGUUUAUUCCAACAUGAUUGCUGGUAACACUCAAAAAGAUAAGGUGAGUGUUUUUGUUUGAGAUCUGAGCACACUCUACACUUCAACCAGCAGGAUUUGAAUGCAGCUAGGAGGAAGCUAUUUCCUGAUAAGCCUUAAAUGCCAAGUUGUUUUCUAUACUUACCUUCAAUUGUGUUAAACUACAUUUUGGCUAUCAAAUGAAUGGUAUACUUUUUAUUUUAUUUUUUUACAGACUACUUUCUAUUUUAAAAGUCAUUUUUUUCUUUCCUCGUCUCCUUGUGGUAAUUUUUUUUCAAACUAGCCUUUUAAGCCUACCUAUGUUUUGGCCUAUUUACAUGUACCCAACACAUGGAUUUUUCUCUAAAAUUACCUUAGUUGGCCCAUUUGAUCUUAAUCUCACCUACCUAUUUUCAAAUAAGCAAAGAAUAACCAACAUUAGAAGAAAAGCAGAACUAAUCCUAUAAAUGCUUAAUGUCAAGAAUAAGAAAAGUUCUUUCACUUAUACCUUGUUUAAAUAAUUUUUGACACAAUAUUUAGUUAAAUACUGGAGUUAGGGCCUCCAAAGUAUAUAAUACAUAGAAAAUCUGGGAAUCUUGAGAUAAGUUUUGAAAAGAACUUUGGUUAAUUUCAAAAUAAUACUAACUUAGAAGCUCUUUACAGAGUACUUUUACAUAUAUUAUCUGUGCUGAUCUUUACAACAGUCUAGGCAGUUAAAAAAGGUAGUUAAUAAUGGUGGUGGAAUCUCUUUCAAAUGAAGAAAAGAAGCUUAAGGACCCAAACACUUCAACCAUCCGUUGAUGCCUUGCACCAUCUUCAUAGGUGGAAAGCUGGAGACAGGAGCCACAGUCAGGAGUCAAACCUAAGAAUAUCUAUGUAGGACACACACCCACCCCUACUUUUCACUUUAAAGGCAGCGCUGAACAUCAGACCUACAAAAUGAAGGUCUGGAGCAACCAACCAUAAUAGUUCUUUUUCUCCAUCAUGGGCUUGCAUAUUUUGUUUAUUUUACUGAUUAUGGGUAAGUGAUAGAUUGGAAACCAUUGGUUGCAA